rnacentral:rRNA from 1 species
UACAGAGGGGGCAAGCGUUGUUCGGAAUUACUGGGCGUAAAGGGCGCGUAGGCGGCCUGCUAAGUCGAACGUGAAAUCCCUGGGCUCAACCCAGGAACUGCGUCCGAUACUGGUUGGCUUGAAUCCGGGAGAGGGAUGUGGAAUUCCAGGUGUAGCGGUGAAAUGCGUAGAGAUCGGGAGGAACACCAGUGGCGGAAGGCGGCCUUCUGGACCAAUACUGACGCUCAUGCGACGAAAGCGUUGGGGAGCAAACAGG